UACGUAGGGACCGAGCGUUGUCCGGAUUCAUUGGGCGUAAAGAGCUCGUAGGCGGCCACUCAAGUCGAAUGUGAAACCUCGAGGCUCAACCUCGAGCCUGCAUUCGAUACUGGGCGGCUAGAGUCUGGUAGGGGGAUCUGGAAUUCCUGGUGUAGCGGUGAAAUGCGCAGAUAUCAGGAGGAACACCGGUGGCGAAGGCGGGUCUCUGGGCCUGUACUGACGCUGAGGAGCGAAAGCGUGGGGAGCGAACAGG
rnacentral:rRNA from 1 species